rnacentral:rRNA from 1 species
GACGAACGCUGGCGGCGUGCCUAAUACAUGCAAGUAGAACGCUGAAGGAGGAGCUUGCUCUUCUGGAAGAGUUGCGAACGGGUGAGUAACGCGUAGGUAACCUGCCUGGUAGCGGGGGAUAACUAUUGGAAACGAUAGCUAAUACCGCAUAAUAUUGAAUAUCGCAUGAUAAUUGAUUAAAAGAUGCAAUUGCAUUACUACCAGAUGGACCUGCGUUGUAUUAGCUAGUAGGUGAGGUAACGGCUCACCUAGGCGACGAUACAUAGCCGACCUGAGAGGGUGAUCGGCCACACUGGGACUGAGACACGGCCCAGACUCCUACGGGAGGCAGCAGUAGGGAAUCUUCGGCAAUGGGGGCAACCCUGACCGAGCAACGCCGCGUGAGUGAAGAAGGUUUUCGGAUCGUAAAGCUCUGUUGUAAGAGAAGAACGAGUGUGAGAGUGGAAAGUUCACACUGUGACGGUAUCUUACCAGAAAGGGACG